rnacentral:rRNA from 1 species
AACGAACGCUGGCGGCAUGCCUAACACAUGCAAGUCGAACGAGACCUUCGGGUCUAGUGGCGCACGGGUGCGUAACGCGUGGGAACCUGCCUUUAGGUUCGGAAUAACUCAGAGAAAUUUGAGCUAAUACCGGAUAAUGUCUUCGGACCAAAGAUUUAUCGCCUUUAGAUGGGCCCGCGUUGGAUUAGCUAGUUGGUGGGGUAAAGGCCUACCAAGGCGACGAUCCAUAGCUGGUCUGAGAGGAUGAUCAGCCACACUGGGACUGAGACACGGCCCAGACUCCUACGGGAGGCAGCAGUGGGGAAUAUUGGACAAUGGGCGAAAGCCUGAUCCAGCAAUGCCGCGUGAGUGAUGAAGGCCUUAGGGUUCGUAAAGCUCUUUUACCCGAGAUGAUAAUGACAGUACCGGGAGAAUAAGCUCCGGCUAACUCCGUGCCAGCAGCCGCGGUAAU